rnacentral:rRNA from 1 species
ACGAACGCUGGCGGCGUGCCUAAUACAUGCAAGUCGAGCGGAAUGAUGAAGAAGCUUGCUUCUUCUGAUUUUAGCGGCGGACGGGUGAGUAACACGUGGGCAACCUACCUUGUAGAUUGGGAUAACUCCGGGAAACCGGGGCUAAUACCGAAUAAUCCAUUUUGCUUCAUGGCGAGAUGUUGAAAGACGGUUUCGGCUGUCACUACAAGAUGGGCCCGCGGCGCAUUAGCUAGUUGGUAGGGUAAUGGCCUACCAAGGCGACGAUGCGUAGCCGACCUGAGAGGGUGAUCGGCCACACUGGGACUGAGACACGGCCCAGACUCCUACGGGAGGCAGCAGUAGGGAAUCUUCCACAAUGGACGAAAGUCUGAUGGAGCAACGCCGCGUGAGUGAAGAAGGUUUUCGGAUCGUAAAACUCUGUUGUAAGGGAAGAACACGUACGAGAGUAACUGCUCGUACCUUGACGAUACCUUAUUAGAAAGCCACGGCUAACUACGUG